rnacentral:rRNA from 3 species
GGACUACUGGGGUAUCUAAUCCCGUUUGCUCCCCUGGCUUUCGCGCCUCAGCGUCAGAAGAGGUCCAGCACACCGCUUUCGCCACCGGCGUUCCUUCCGAUCUCUACGCAUUUCACCGCUCCACCGGAAGUUCCGUAUGCCCCUACCUCCCUCGAGGCCACCAGUAUCAAAAGCUCUUUGCCGGUUAAGCCGACAGAUUUCACCCCUGACUUGGUGGCCCGCCUACGCGCCCUUUAAGCCCAGUGAUUCCGAACAACGUUCGCACGGUUCGUCUUACCGCGGCUGCUGGCAC